rfam:Echinostoma caproni strain Egypt genome assembly, scaffold: ECPE_scaffold0005815
GGCCUCGUAGCUCAGCUGGUCGAGCGUGCGCUGUACAAAAAGCGUAAGCGGCGUCCAUGCGUGGGUUCGAAUCCCACCGAGGCUA